AUUGAACGCUGGCGGCAUGCCUUACACAUGCAAGUCGAACGGUAACGGGCCUUCGGGUGCCGACGAGUGGCGAACGGGUGAGUAAUGCAUCGGAACGUACCUUUCAGUGGGGGAUAACGUAGCGAAAGUUACGCUAAUACCGCAUAUUCUGUGCGCAGGAAAGCAGGGGAUCGCAAGACCUUGCGCUGAUUGAGCGGCCGAUGUCAGAUUAGCUAGUUGGUGAGGUAAAGGCUCACCAAGGCGACGAUCUGUAGCGGGUCUGAGAGGAUGAUCCGCCACACUGGAACUGAGACACGGUCCAGACUCCUACGGGAGGCAGCAGUGGGGAAUUUUUGGACAAUGGGGGCAACCCUGAUCCAGCCAUGCCGCGUGAGUGAAGAAGGCC
rnacentral:rRNA from 1 species